AAAGAGUCCUGUGGUUUGGAUAAAUGGCAUUCCUAGUGCAACAAAUGUGUGCGAUUUUAACAAAGAUCAACUCUGCCUCUUUGAUGGUCACCCUUUUAAUGAUCCAAUGAUAGCUCUAGAAUCCUCGUGCGAUGGAAAACCAGUUCACAUUUGCAUACAUAAUAUACUGCUUACAAUUUCAGCAGUUGAAAGACUUGGUAGAAAACGUGCCCUUCUCAAAACAACUGGGGGAUCUGAUUGUAUUGUUGUUGUUUGGGGAGAUAGGUGUUAGUACUUGGGAUUGUCCCCCCUCACCCACAGUCCUGCAUAUGCUAGGCAAAUGUUCUUCCGCUGAGCUACAUUCACAGCCUCUGAGGGACACUGUGUGUGUGUGUGUGUGUGUGUGUGUGUG